UGGGGAAUAUUGGACAAUGGGCGCAAGCCUGAUCCAGCCAUGCCGCGUGAGUGAUGAAGGCCCUAGGGUUGUAAAGCUCUUUCACCGGUGAAGAUAAUGACGGUAACCGGAGAAGAAGCCCCGGCUAACUUCGUGCCAGCAGCCGCGGUAAUACGAAGGGGGCUAGCGUUGUUCGGAUUUACUGGGCGUAAAGCGCACGUAGGCGGACUAUUAAGUCAGGGGUGAAAUCCCGGGGCUCAACCCCGGAACUGCCUUUGAUACUGGUAGUCUUGAGUUCGAGAGAGGUGAGUGGAAUUCCGAGUG
rnacentral:rRNA from 1 species